rnacentral:rRNA from 1 species
UGGGGAAUCUUGCGCAAUGGGCGAAAGCCUGACGCAGCCAUGCCGCGUGAAUGAUGAAGGUCUUAGGAUUGUAAAAUUCUUUCACCGGGGACGAUAAUGACGGUACCCGGAGAAGAAGCCCCGGCUAACUUCGUGCCAGCAGCCGCGGUAAUACGAAGGGGGCUAGCGUUGCUCGGAAUUACUGGGCGUAAAGGGAGCGUAGGCGGACAUUUAAGUCAGGGGUGAAAUCCCGGGGCUCAACCUCGGAAUUGCCUUUGAUACUGGGUGUCUUGAGUGUGAGAGAGGUAUGUGGAACUCCGAGUGUAGAGGUGAAAUUCGUAGAUAUUCGGAAGAACACCAGUGGCGAAGGCGACAUACUGGCUCAUUACUGACGCUGAGGCUCGAAAGCGUGGGGAGCAAACAGGAUUAGAUACCCUGGUAGUCCACGCCGUAAACGAUGAUUGCUAGUUGUCGGGAUGCAUGCAUUUCGGUGACGCAGCUAACGCAUUAAGC